GCAAGUCGAACGAGAAAGCAACUUCGGUUGUGAUUAAAGUGGCGAACGGGUGAGUAACGCGUAGGUAAUCUGCCCUAUAGUCGGGGAUAAACACUGGAAACGGUGUCUAAUACCGGAUGUGAACGGAUACUUCAUGGUAUCCAGUUUAAAGUAUUUUUAUGCUAUAGGAUGAGCCUGCGUCGCAUUAGCUAGUUGGUAAGGUAAGGGCUUACCAAGGCAACGAUGCGUAGCGGAUUUGAGAGAGUGAUC
rnacentral:rRNA from 1 species